ACGCUCGACACCUACUGGAGGCAGCAGUUAGGAAUAUUGGGCAAUGGAGGAAACUCUGACCCAGCAACGCCGCGUGAAGGAAGAAGGUUUUCGGAUUGUAAACUUCUGAUCUAGGGGAAGAAGGAAGUGACGGUACCCUAGGAGAAAGCCACGGCUAACUACGUGCCAGCAGCCCGGUAAUCUGAGCGGGCUGGCAAGGC
rnacentral:rRNA from 1 species